CCUACGGGAGGCAGCAGUGGGGGAUAUUGCACAAUGGGGGAAACCCUGAUGCAGCGACGCCGCGUGUGGGAAGACGGUCCUCUGGAUUGUAAACCACUGUCCCCAGGGACGAAGAUGACGGUACCUGGGGAGGAAGCUCCGGCUAACUACGUGCCAGCAGCCGAGGUAAUACGUAGGGGGCGAGCGUUGUCCGGAAUUAUGGGGUGUAAAGGGAGCGUAGGCGGGACUGCAAGUUGGGGGUCAAAUCUACGGGGUCAAUGGGUAGCCGCACUGGAAACUGGAGUUCUUGAGUGACGUGGAGGCAGGAGGAAUGCGUGGUGUAGCGGUGAAAUGCGUAGAUAUGAGGAGGAACACCGGUGGCGAAGGCGGCCUGCUGGGCUUUUACUGACGCUGAGGCGCGAAAGUGUGGGGAGCAAACAGGAUUAGAUACCCGUGUAGUC
rnacentral:rRNA from 1 species